rnacentral:rRNA from 1 species
UACGGAGGGUGCAAGCGUUAUCCGGAUUCACUGGGUUUAAAGGGUGCGUAGGUGGGUUGGUAAGUCAGUGGUGAAAUCUCCGAGCUUAACUUGGAAACUGCCAUUGAUACUAUUAAUCUUGAAUACCGUGGAGGUCAGCGGAAUAUGUCAUGUAGCGGUGAAAUGCUUAGAUAUGACAUAGAACACCAAUUGCGAAGGCAGCUGGCUACACGAAUAUUGACACUGAGGCACGAAAGCGUGGGGAUCAAACAGG